UACGGGGGGGGCAAGCGUUGUUCGGAAUUACUGGGCGUAAAGGGCUCGUAGGUGGCCAACUAAGUCAUACGUGAAAUCCCUCAGCUUAACUGGGGAACUGCGCCUGAUACUGGUUGGCUUGAGUUUGGGAGAGGGACGCGGAAUUCCAGGUGUAGCGGUGAAAUGCAUAGAUAUCUGGAGGAACACCGGUGGCGAAGGCGGCGUCCUGGACCAAUACUGACACUGAGGAGCGAAAGCCAGGGGAGCAAACGGG
rnacentral:rRNA from 1 species